UGUAAAAUUCAAUCCACUGGCAGGGACAUCCACAAGCACACCCAAAUCGCUACCUGGCUCAAGUACCCGCCAACUGAACUGACAUGCAAAAUUAACAUUACGUUAGAUAGUGUUGCUGACUGAUGGGUCAUUCGACCACAAAACUCGACAACAUAUCUGAUGGCAGAAGUGGCUGUUGAGAGGGAUUUCAGGAAAAGUGGUGGGCAGAAGGUGCAAUCUUCUACAGGAGCAAAAGCCAUGUUGGACAGUUUAAUUGACCCAAACCAUGGAUAACUUGAAGACGGCUAAUCCAGAGACAGACCCCCAUCCUCCAAAGGCCAUGUUUCAUUUCAAUAACUAGCCGACUGUAUGGCGAGAGAGCACUAAGAAAAUGAGAUGCGGGUGUGAGUCUGAAUGAUUGGAGGGGAGAGGUAGGGAUGAUGUUUGAGUGUGAACGCAAGAGUAUCCAUGACAGACAAAUUACUCUGCUGCUUAAGCACCGAAUAUAAAUUAGUUUUCAUCUUCAGAAGAGCAGAUAUCCACCUCUGACCUUUGCAGGGUGUCUAAUAAGGUACUUGUCAGAUUUGCAUGUCUUCACUUCUCUGCUGUGCGACUCAUACCUCUGGGCAACGCUUACAGAAACACCACCUGACUGACAUAUCUGAAAAGCAAUUUAUCUCGCUACUCUGAAAUAGCUGACGGGUAACAGAAACAGUGCAGUAGGUCAGAGAGCCUCAUGGGACACUUUAAAGAUGUUGGUCAAACAAUAUGAACAGGUACCUGUACGGUCAUUCAUGUACACUGAGAUGUCUUUCUGUGUAGGGCUACAGAGGAAUUAGAGCAAGAGCUAAGUGACCACCACAGAUAAUUGCUCUGAUUAGGAUUUUGUCACUGAAUAAAGUGAUUUUUGUGUACAAUUAGCCUCACAAGCUGACCUUUGGUUCAGAACACAAAAGCUUGACAAGUGUAGCAGUUUUUUUUCCCCCAUGGUAAUUUUGCCAUGCAGGGGUCACAUCAGUGGCCUUAUCAUUCCAGCCAGACCACAGUGGUUUGAUGGGAUCUGUAGAGUCUUCUAAAGAAGACCAUUUCUCGUGCCAAAUGAAGUGAGCCCCUUUCAUCAGGAUCAAUAUAUCCCUGAGAUUCAGGCCGGGCAGGGCCAUAAAUCCUGCAUGCUAGGAUAGAGAAACUGGAAGAGAGAGAGAGAGACAGAGAGAGAGAG